GGGAGAAAUUCAUUCGCGUUUCGCAGUCGGCGUGAGGCGAUCGAGUGACGGAACGCGUCUUCGGACGUUUUCUGCACCUUUUGUUUUUCGAUCCGAUAGCGAACGCGUGCACUUUUCUCCUGGUAGGACGUCGCGAUCCGUUGGGUGUCGGUCUACGGCUCACGGUGGAGCCCGGAUGUACGGCUUGCCGUCACGUCCGGACCCGUGUGUCCCGGCUGACUCGCUCGACGGUAUACGAAUGGUUUAAGGCCGCUCUCGCGAGCGUUCGGCUCGUCGCAAGCGCGUCAAAUGUGUCGGUGAUCGGACCUAGUGCCGGUUCUGACCUUUGGCGACUGUUGGCGGCGAAGUUCUCGAACAGUGCUUUAACCAAUCUGCGACGCUAUAGCUUUGGGUACUUUCAGGA
rnacentral:rRNA from 1 species